AAUCAGGAUCAAAAUUUUCUUGUAAUCGGGCUCGAUCAUAUCAAACCCAAUCAGAAUCGAACUAAAUCCAAUUCAAUUAGACUUGAUCCAAAGCUCUUUACUCAAUCAAAUUAAGUCAAUUAGUAAUCUAAUUACUAAUAAAUUCUCUAUUAAUGGUAGAGUUUCAGUCUCAGUGGGACUCUCUCACAAAGUCCUAGUCCGAGUAGGACUCUUCACC
rnacentral:lncRNA from 1 species